AACGCAUAUUGCGCUCUUUGGUAUUCCGAAGAGCAUGCUUGUUUGAGUAUCAGUAAACACCUCAAAGCUUUUGAUUUUUUUUAAAAGUUUUGGACUUGAGCAAUCCCAACACCAAUCUUUUUCAGAUCGGCGGCGGGUUGCUUGAAAUGCAGGUGCAGCUGGACAUUCUCCUGAGCUAAAAGCAUAUUUAUUUAGUCCCGUCAAACGGAUUAUUACUUUUGCUGCAGCUAAUAUAAAGGGAGUUUGACCGUAUUGGCUGACUGAUGCAGGAUUUCACAAGGGUCGGCAACGAUUCUUGUAAAACUCGAUCUCAAAUCAAGUAAGACUACCCGCUGAACUUAA
rnacentral:misc_RNA from 1 species